CACGUAGGGGGCAAGCGUUGUUCGGAAUUACUGGGCGUAAAGGGCUUGUAGGUGGCCAACUAAGUCAGACGUGAAAUCCCUCGGCUUAACCGGGGAACUGCGUCUGAUACUGGAUGGCUUGAGUGUGGGAGAGGGAUGCGGAAUUCCAGGUGUAGCGGUGAAAUGCGUAGAUAUCAGGAGGAACACCGGUGGCGAAGGCGCCACCCUGGGCCGAAACUGACGCUGAGGAGCGAAAGCGUGGGUAGCAAACAGG
rnacentral:rRNA from 1 species